rnacentral:rRNA from 1 species
UACGUAGGGGGCAAGCGUUGUCCGGAUUUAUUGGGCGUAAAGCGCUCGCAGGUGGUCCGUUGCGUCGUGCGUGAAAGACCCCGGCUCAACCGGGGAGGGUCGUGCGAUACGGGCGGACUGGAGGCCAGUAGGGGGAUGCGGAAUUCCGGGUGUAGUGGUGGAAUGCGUAGAGAUCCGGAGGAACACCAGCGGCGAAAGCGGCUUCCUGGUCCAGCACCGACGU